AUGCCGCCACCACUCGUCGUCAAUGACGCGGUAGAUACAACGCCGCACCACCUGGCAACCUCCACACCAUCACCACUGCUGGAGCUACUCGGAGCCCACCAUCCACAACAUCUCUCCCCGAAAAGCAGUUCCUCCCAAGACGUCGCCUCCAUGGAGGAUACGACGCGCAGGACGCCGCCGCCGCCCAAUCCAGACUGA
rnacentral:rRNA from 1 species